rnacentral:snRNA from 1 species
GUGCUCGCUUCAGCAGCACAUAUACUAAAAUUGGAACGAUACAGAAAAGAUUAGCAUGGCCCCUGCACAAGGAUGACACGCAAAUUCGUGAAGCGUUACAUAUUUUU